UUUUCUGGGAACACUGUAUUGGUAGUGGAUGAGUCUAAUAAGUCAAAAUCUGGAGAUAAUAAGGAUGAGGGUGGCAAUAGUGGGCUAGAAAAAAUUGAGGAUGGUGCGGUUGUAUCUAAUAUUCACACAUCUAAGUGGGAUGGUGUUUACUGAAGUGGAAGAGAUUAUUUCUUUCAGGGGAAACUGGAGCCGGCUGAGAGGCUUUUCGGUUCGGUAAUACAGGAAGCUAAGGAAGGUUUUGGAGAGAAGGAUCCACAUGUUGCCCCUGCAUGUAACAAUCUGGUUGGUCUCGGUGGGCUUUUUUCAGCUUUCAUAGUUCCUUGGAUUAUAGUUUCAUAUCAGCAUCUUGAGUAUAGUCCUAGGGUAAGUAUUUAACUGUUUUCUGGCUGAGGAAUAUAGACAUAUCCUUAUUAAUUUACAAUUUCUUUGUAUGUUCAUAUCUAUAUAUAUUUUAGCACAAUGGUUUCAUGA